AACCCCCAUUGGGCAAGGUCGAACGGGGAUCCAUCAGGCUUUGCUUGGUGGUGAGAGUGGCGAACGGGUGAGUAAUGCGUGACCGACCUGCCCCAUACACCGGAAUAGCUCCUGGAAACGGGUGGUAAUGCCGGAUGCUCCGACUCCUCGCAUGGGGUGUCGGGAAAGAUUUCAUCGGUAUGGGAUGGGGUCGCGUCCUAUCAGGUAGUCGGCGGGGUAACGGCCCACCGAGCCUACGACGGGUAGCCGGCCUGAGAGGGCGACCGGCCACAUUGGGACUGAGAUACGGCCCAGACUCCUACGGGAGGCAGCAGUGGGGAAUAUUGCACAAUGGGCGCAAGCCUGAUGCAGCGACGCCGCGUGCGGGAUGACGGCCUUCGGGUUGUAAACCGCUUUUGAUCGGGAGCAAGCCUUCGGGUGAGUGUACCUUUCGAAUAAGCACCGGCUAACUACGUGCCAGCAGCCGCGGUAAUACGUAGGGUGCAAGCGUUAUCCGGAAUUAUUGGGCGUAAAGGGCUCGUAGGCGGUUCGUCGCGUCCGGUGUGAAAGUCCAUCGCUUAACGGUGGAUCUGCGCCGGGUACGGGCGGGCUGGAGUGCGGUAGGGGAGACUGGAAUUCCCGGUGUAACGGUGGAAUGUGUAGAUAUCGGGAAGAACACCAAUGGCGAAGGCAGGUCUCUGGGCCGUUACUGACGCUGAGGAGCGAAAGCGUGGGGAGCGAACAGGAUUAGAUACCCUGGUAGUCCACGCCGUAAACGGUGGAUGCUGGAUGUGGGGCCCGUUCCACGGGUUCCGUGUCGGAGCUAACGCGUUAAGCAUCCCGCCUGGGGAGUACGGCCGCAAGGCUAAAACUCAAAGAAAUUGACGGGGGCCCGCACAAGCGGCGGAGCAUGCGGAUUAAUUCGAUGCAACGCGAAGAACCUUACCUGGGCUUGACAUGUUCCCGACAGCCGUAGAGAUAUGGCCUCCCUUCGGGGCGGGUUCACAGGUGGUGCAUGGUCGUCGUCAGCUCGUGUCGUGAGAUGUUGGGUUAAGUCCCGCAACGAGCGCAACCCUCGCCCUGUGUUGCCAGCACGUCAUGGUGGGAACUCACGGGGGACCGCCGGGGUCAACUCGGAGGAAGGUGGGGAUGACGUCAGAUCAUCAUGCCCCUUACGUCCAGGGCUUCACGCAUGCUACAAUGGCCGGUACAACGGGAUGCGACACGGCGACGUGGAGCGGAUCCCUGAAAACCGGUCUCAGUUCGGAUUGGAGUCUGCAACCCGACUCCAUGAAGGCGGAGUCGCUAGUAAUCGCGGAUCAGCAACGCCGCGGUGAAUGCGUUCCCGGGCCUUGUACACACCGCCCGUCAAGUCAUGAAAGUGGGUAGCACCCGAAGCCGGUGGCCUAACCCUUUUGUGGAAGGAACCCCUUUCCUUAAAAAUGU
rnacentral:rRNA from 1 species